AUCGGAGGCCAGCCUCUGCAAUUUACACCUUGUUUCAAAACCCAGAGGGCUGCUGAUGCAUCUCUGUGCUGAUCUGGAAUCCACGAGGCCCUGCGUCCGUCGGGUGGAUACUAUCGAGUGGACUUGCUGGACGGGCUUAUUCGGUAUUGGGAUGUAACCCGUCUUAAAUCAUCUAGAUGCUGGUCUCGGAAAAGUGCAUCAACUCUCCA
rnacentral:lncRNA from 1 species